rnacentral:misc_RNA from 1 species
AAAUGUUUCCACGUUAUUUAAUAUUUUGUUUAGUUAAGUUCCAUUUGAUUUUGAUGUAAGUAUUCAACAUAAUAAGUGUGUAAUAUCAUAUUUAUCAAUUACCACUAAUUAAACUUUGAAUGACAAUGAAAUUAGGUGAAAAACAGGUAUGGCCGCUUGCCCCUGUUACAAUCUUCAACGGUCGGAAAAGUAGCUAUGUGGAUAUGUAUGGAAAUUUAAAGGUAUUAUUGUUUGAACGAAAAGUGAAAUACCAUUUCCUGAAUUUUGAAAUUGCCCAAAAAUUCUACCAACGCGCCGCAUACAUGUAAUUUCUCGAGUGAGUGAAUAUGCAUAUUAUAGGUAGAUACACGAAAGUAUAUAAGUAAUAAUUAUUAUGUAAAAACUAUGUAGUGGGCGGAGAGCCGUGUAGUCCUCCUAUUUAUCAAGAAUCAGGAGCACGUGGUGCGUGCGCAUGGCAUACAUUGCAACAACGUGUUCUCUAACAGAGUGGGGAUUGCAUCUGUCAGUUGUAACUUGGUUAUCGUGGGGUGAGUGGGAAAUGCCCGUCUCUUGAUUUCGCGAUUCUCUUAGGACUACGCAAAACUAAAGUACUAAAUGGUGUGAAAAAAAGUUACAAACAUGGAUAAUUCGGCAUUUGUUCCGAACACGGGUCACAUGAAUUCCCCCGCUUUAGUUGUCUUCUCCCAAGCAACUGGAGGACUUACCGACGGAUUACGCCUGCAACGUCCUUUUAAUACACAGUUUCAGAUGGGGGAUGCCUCUAAAGAGCUGCACCGACCGUUUACUACAACAACUUUUGGCUUAAGGAACAUAGAAGCCUACGGGGGCCUUCCAGCUCAUAUUCUUAACCACCUUCAGCCGCAGUUUUUACAUCCCGGUUUAACUCUCGGUUCUAGUGCUUUUCGUCCUUUAUCCGAUUUGAAAGCUUUCCCGUCUCCUUCAGCUUUUGCACCCCCGAAGUGCUUAAAAAUAGAAACUAGUGGUGAACACGCGUCCGGUAACCAUGGCUUCUUCUCUCCUUCGGAGGAGAGAUACUUAGGUCCUAGUCCGAGAAUGGAUUCGUGUUCCCCAGCGAGCGCUUCCAUGUCUCCACAGCCACACGUAUCAUUGGGCAGUGUUAAAGAAGAAAGUUUGGACGCGCAGAUAUCUGAGGAUGGAGAAACUCAUCCGCAAAAUGCCGAUAGUGACUCACCAGGAAUACAUGAAGAGAAUAGAGGUUUUCGUAUAGGUCCUCUACUUGCCAGCAGCUUUGUAAGCGGAGCGUACACCCUCUCAGUUCCUGGUAUGCCUCCGACAGCCCACUCUGGCUCCAAGACAAGUCUCCUAUUCGAUAAUGGUCUUUCAGGUAAGAGACGAAAAGAUCCAUCCAGUUGUCCAGUUUGUGGAAUGUCUAUAUCACCGGGCGAUUUAGAAACUCAUUUCAUGAGAGAACUGGAUAGACUUUAUAAAUUAAAUGGUUCAGGAAGUAUUAAUCUGAGAACAAGAAGAAAUGAACCUUCUCGACCUCCUGCUCUACCUGGUGAUAGUGGACCGGAAGGGCGGUGGGAGACAUUUCAACGAAUUAAAACAAAUCGACAAGGAAGGCUCAAACUGAAAAUCAGAAAACGAAAAGCUGAUGAUGGAUGUCCGGUCUGUAUGAGUCACAUUCAUAAAGAUGAAAUUUGUUUAAGAAAAGGCACAUCUAAUGAUGAAGAUGAAACUGUUGAUGUGGAAGGUUAUUCUGAAUUAGAAGAUUGGAAUGAAGUGAGAAAGCGUAACUCGACUUCUGUUAGUGGUAAAAAAAGAAAUUUUACAUCCAUGGCAUUAUUUCUUGACCACCAUUUUUCCACAGCCGACCGAAGCAGUCGCAUGAGUGUUGAAACAGAAACAGAAGACCUUAUUGUAGAUGGUGAUGAACCUGAAGAAUCUACGUUUGGUCCUAAGCAAUAUUCAGAAUCGGAUCUUUCGGAUAAAGCAGAAGAAAAAUCAAAACAGAAAGAAGGGACGCAAUCUCAAGUAGCUACAGUUAAUUCUAGUGGAGAUGUGGAAGUUAAAGUAGAGAGUGGCGGACAGCAGUGUGAUAGUAAUGUUAGCACAUCUGAUGCGGAACCUAGCAGCAGGCUUCAAAUGAUCGAAGAAUUGAGGAGUAGGAUAAGGCAACUGGAAGCUGAAGUAACCACGGAAACUGCCACUAGUACAGAUAUUGAAGAAUACAAGUGUCUAAUCUGUUUGUCUCUAAAAUGCUUUCAAACUACACACAACUGGUACUAAUCGUAAAUUUCAUGUCCCUCUUUAAGGAACAUUACAAAAAGCCAGUCAUUUCAACUGUUUGUUGGCAUGUUCAUUGUGAAGAAUGUUGGCUGCACACACUCGGAAGCAAGAAAGUUUGUCCUCAGU